rnacentral:rRNA from 1 species
UACGUAGGGGCCAAGCGUUGUCCGGAUUUAUUGGGCGUAAAAGGCUUGUAGGUGGCCACGUCAAGUCGGAUGUGAAAUCUCCCGGCUCAACUGGGAGGGGUCAUUCGAUACUGGCGGGCUCGAGGCCGGUAGGGGGAAGCGGAAUUCCCGGUGUAGUGGUGGAAUGCGUAGAGAUCCGGAGGAACACCAGCGGCGAAGGCGGCGUCCUGGACUGGGCCUGACGCUCAGGAGCGAAAGCGUGGGGAGCGAUCCGG